UACGUAGGGUGCGAGCGUUGUCCGGAAUUAUUGGGCGUAAAGAGCUCGUAGGCGGUGUGUCACGUCUGCCGUGAAAACCUGCAGCUUAACUGUGGGCGUGCGGGCGAUACGGGCAGACUGGAGUACUGCAGGGGAGACUGGAAUUCCUGGUGUAGCGGUGGAAUGCGUAGAUAUCAGGAGGAACACCGGUGGCGAAGGCGGGUCUCUGGGCAGUAACUGACGCUGAGGAGCGAAAGCGUGGGGAGCGAACCGG
rnacentral:rRNA from 1 species